AUAAAAUAAAAUAUCAUUAUCCAUUUCAGUGAGAGGAGAGCAGAGAAGAAAUAAGAAGAAAAGGAGGAGGAGGAAAUGGAGGGAAGCUCACUUUUAGGCUGUUACAAAACCCAUUACAAUUCCUUCUUCUUCAACCCUCCUUCUUCUUCUUCUUCGUCUCGUUACUAUUACCAUUACUAUUCUACUACAACUACUACUAACAAGGCAAUGUCAGAUUGGUAGCCUCAAUUUCAUACCCACCAACAAGAAGGACAAGAACAAGAACAGCAACAACAUACGACCCAUUCUUCCUCUACGAUUCACAUGCCACCGGUUGACAAGACUGGGAGGUUUUGCAGCCCGGCCGAGAGCCCGCUUUGUAUGCCCCCCCCCCCCCCCCCCCUCUCGAUCUCUCAUUUCUUUUUCUUUUUUUUCCCUCUAGAGAGAGAGUAGUUCUUCCUCCUUGCACUCACUAUCUAAAGCCUGUUUACUUUGUAAGAGAAACAAGCAUACUGGGUCUUCAUUCAGAGCCAUGGAGAGAAAGGGAAGAAAUUACUACCUUAGGGGUGCUUCUUUUUUUUGCGUGAAAUAUUUUACACGAAUAUUUUCAUAUCUUAGCAUGUUUGUUUUUUGAAAAUAAAUAAUUUACAUAAUAAAAAAAUUAUAGUUAAUAUCCUAUUUGCAAGAAAAUAUUUUAUAUUCAUAAAGUCACCACCACUUUUUUUCACUCUCACCACCAUUUUUUUUCACUAUUUUCGUCAUUUAAAAAUUAUUUUAUAUGUAAUUAAAAGAAAAUAUUUAUUAAAUUAAAUAGUAAAAUAUUUUUAUUUAAAAAUAUUUUACGCAAGAUAAACCAGAAUAAAUGGAUGUGUUAAUUUUUAAUGUUUAAUUAAUACGGUUACUUGGAUCAAUUUAAUGGUUUUUAAAAAUCAAAUUUAAAAUCUAACUUGAGUGAGGUGAGGUUGAAAGUUGAAAUUAGCCCAACAUACGGCCCAUCCCGUAUAAAAAGAAGAACCGUAGGCCCCCUAGAUGAGGUAGAACAGAAAGGCCCAUAUGUAGCGGCUGCAAGUCUGCAACUGCCCCCGGGGGUUCUAGGAUUAGGGUUUUCAUCGCCCCUCCCUCUUAACUCUCAGCUAUAUAUAACAAGAGAGGCAGCAGAACUAGAAGCAGCAGCGGGGCUAACCAGGAUUACUCUUUCUGCAUCUUCUCUUAGGGUUUAGCAUACAUGCUGUUUGAUUGUGUUUGUUAAUAUGAAUGAAGUAAAGCCUGAUAUUGCAAUUCUUUGGUCUUAAUGAAUAGAUUAUUGGCCAAAGAAUCUAUCGUCAGGCAAUAGUGAUGUAUAUCUGUAUGUAUAUACAUGCACGCAUUUUAUACCUUUAGCUCCGACUGUCCAUUUUUUCUCUUGAAGAAGUUGUUUUUAGGGUUUGUUGGUGACAAGGUAGAUACAUCUUAUUAUAUUUUGAUCUUGUUCUCCUCUUUUCUUCUUUGAUCUGUCUCAAAUUUAAAAAUUUGGUGUGACGAUGAUGAUGGAUGAUUAAUUGAUUGAUGGAUGAUGAUAAAAAUCAGACGGAUUCCCACUGAUUUACACUGUGAUUACACAACCAGCUACUUCUGACACGAUCUAAUCUUCAUCAUCAUCUUCAAGCACUGUUUUCUGUUUUUAAUUAUUAUGAGCAUUAAUAUUUGGGGGCCGGUGAUGUAAGAAAAUAUUUGCUACUCUUGAUGGAGUUAUAUAUAAUUCCAUUUGAUGAUUCCUCUCCACCAAGAUCUCUGAGGCCCUGAUCUGUUUUUCUGUUAAUCUUAAAUACUGAAACUCGCAGAUUUUACUUGAUUUUGAUUUUUGAUUGCUCAUGUAAGGGUGGUUUUGGUCUAAUCUUGCCAAGGGAUGACGACGAAGAAGAGGAGGAAGAAAGUUGUAGGGAUGGAUAACCAGAGGAAAGGCAAGGCUUUUUUACUGUUAUUUUAGCUUCGUCCAUGAAAAAAAAAUAAAGGAAUCAAUGCUAGGUUCCUGAAUAUUGUCCUCGGCAGCCAGAUCAGCCGAGCGAAUCCUAAUUUAAGGCUCAACUCCCAAAAUAAAAGGCUCCCGCACCAUUUAGUUUGGCUUCCCUAGAAUUGGACUGGAAGGGUUUUAUUUUCAUCAUUUAGUGGAUGGAAAUUAGCAUCUUAAUCCUGGGGUUCAUGCAUACAGAUAUACGAAGUUAGCUUGUUAGCAUGGAGCAGCUGCCUUGCAACAAAACAAGGAGACUUGACAACCCAAAUGGAGCUCGAGCAAUUCAAAACUUGAUUUACCUAAAUGAAGUAUAAAGAACAGAAACAAAAACUACCAAGAACUUGACAAGAAAACAUGGACUGGAAAUCGAAAUAUUUUGAAACCAAAUGGAAAGAACAAUACGAAAUGAGUAUUGCUAGAAACUUACCGAGGGUCGGUUUCGAAUGCGUCAUGGAGAGCUUCGCUGAUGCCAGAACUAAGAUUCAUUGAUUUCCCUGUUUGUUGUCACGGCUUCUGUUCUCAUCGUUGUUAUUGAAAAACGUUAAUGCCUUGACAAGUUGAGAAUUCAAUGUUGUUUUGGUAA